rnacentral:rRNA from 1 species
UACAGAGGAGCCAAGCGUUGUCCGGAUUGACUGGGCGUAAAGCGCACGCAGGCGGAUGCGCGCGUGGGGUGUGAAAUCUGGCCGCUUAACGGCCAGGCGCCAUCCCAUACGGCGCGUCUGGAGUGAUGCAGAGGUCGAUGGAAUUGCCGGUGUAGUGGUGAAAUGCGUAGAGAUCGGCAGGAACACCCAGGGGGAAACCAGUCGACUGGGCAUCUACUGACGCUGGGGUGCGAGAGCGUGGGGAGCGAACCGG